CCUCCCCGUCCCGAUACGCUCGACCGCACUGCGCCCGGAGAUCUUCGAGGUCGUGCUUCGCGGCAACUUGCAAUUCCCGCUGCGCGCCUUCGUCAUUCCGCGCGGCGGCGGCCGUCUUCCCCGUCGGCGUGGUCCAGCCCUCCGCGAGGCACUGGUACGUCCGCACGUCGCCGCUCUCCUGCCUCUCUCCUGUUACCUUAUCCCCUCGUAUGGCAUAGGUCGAGUCCGCCAAUAGGGAUGUCGUCGAGUCAAGACGAGCUCUUCACCCGUUCCCGUUUGCUCCCGCCCCUGCGGCCAGGCGGUUCCCUUCGUCGGCGCCAGGGAAUCGAUCCAGCAGAGUCGGGUUCCUGCUUCGUCGGGUGGGAUAGGGGAGGGGUUCCCGGCUGAUUUGGCCUAGCAGUAGCUAGCGCCGAUCGAAUCGAUUGGUUGAUGGAUGAAGUGCCUGCUGAUGAUGUGCUCGCUCAACUGGGCUGCGAUCCUAGACGCGUCCGCGUCACUCACCGGAGUUGUUUGCCUGUUCAUGGUUGCUUUCGUGAUGCUGGAGUUCAUUUAGCCAUUAGAAUUGGACACAAAAUGAUGGGCAGAAGCAGCGGUGGUGCCAGAGUUUAUUACUUCAUUUAGUCAGUAGAACUAGCGCUAGUUUUUCCGUGAUCCUGCGGAGACGUCUCUCGUGAAGCUGGAACUGCAGCAGCUAUGGCCUGAGUUAGCAUGAAUGUGUUUGUUCUCUGAACCUAUGUAGUAGUGCUUGUAGAUACAAUCUGGUUCAUUUCUCGUUGAAGUUGAAGAGAGGGUCAGUACUAAUACUUAGUACUUUGUACGCAGACUUUGUUAGAAAGAAAAUGGAGCAAAAAUAUCUGCAUGUUUGUGUACAAAUUCACUGCAUCUUGCUUUAGUUUAACUCAUCAUCAAUCUUGUGUGCUUCCAUAACACUCUUACAAAUGGUUGCACAACCAAUCUGAGCGACGAACAUGUUAUAUUUCUGCAAAAAUUUCCACCUAGGAGUGUUACUAUUGGUUUUCCACAUCUUUUGUUUCACUGUACAACACAUGAACUUGCCCUUUUACUGCAUCAAAAAUUCCAGGGAUCGUCAUAAUUUAUGGUUUAUUGGUGACUUGAGGAAUCAGUUA
rnacentral:lncRNA from 1 species